rnacentral:rRNA from 1 species
GACGAACGCUGGCGGCGUGCCUAAUACAUGCAAGUCGAACGCAGUGGGGACGGGUGAGUAACCCGUGGGUAACCUCCCAUCAGAGGGGAUAACACUUGGAAACAGGUGCUAAACCGACAUUGAUGUAUGUACUCGCUGUGCAUGAGCUAGUUGGUGAGGUAACGGCUCACCCAGGCGACGAUGCAUAGCCGACCUGAGAGGGUGAUCGGCCACACUGGAACUGAGACACGGCCCAGACUCCUACGGGAGGCAGCAGUAGGGAAUCUUCGGCAAUGGACGAAAGUCUGACCGAGCAACGCCGCGUGAGUGAAGAAGGUUUUCGGAUCGUAAAACUCUGUUGUUAGAGAAGCGGUAUCUAACCAGAAAGCCACGGCUAACUACGUGCCAGCAGCCGCGGUAAUAC